UCACGACUAAUUAGAAGCAUUUAUGUUUCAUGAAUCUAGAUCAAUCUACCACAACACUCAUUAUCUCAGUAUUAACUCUAUAAUUUUACAUUUAUGUUAUUUUUGGGGAGUUAAACCACUAUCAUAGCAUCACUAUUAAAGAUAUCUUUAAUCAUGCAUAGCAUGAAUUCAUGUAAACCUGGUAGUGUGAAGUGGUCUCUUAUAAUUUUUUGUAAAAUUCACACA